rnacentral:rRNA from 1 species
AUUGAACGCUGGCGGCAUGCUUUACACAUGCAAGUCGAACGGUAACAGGCCUUCGGGUGCUGACGAGUGGCGAACGGGUGAGUAAUGCAUCGGAACGUGCCCAAUCGUGGGGGAUAACGUAGCGAAAGUUACGCUAAUACCGCAUAAGCCCUGAGGGGGAAAGCAGGGGAUCGCAAGACCUUGCGCGAAUGGAGCGGCCGAUGUCAGAUUAGCUAGUUGGUGGGGUAAAGGCCUACCAAGGCGACGAUCUGUAGCGGGUCUGAGAGGAUGAUCCGCCACACUGGGACUGAGACACGGCCCAGACUCCUACGGGAGGCAGCAGUGGGGAAUUUUGGACAAUGGGCGCAAGCCUGAUCCAGCCAUGCCGCGCGCGGGACGAAGGCC